UCUUGCGCCAACCUCAGAGCAGGUG
rnacentral:rRNA from 1 species